rnacentral:misc_RNA from 1 species
UAUUGUGGAACUUUAUUUGGCUAAUGUAAGGAUUGGGUUCCAACUUGAAUGCCCCAGGUAUUAAAGUGAAAUUAAGGUCUCUAUCCGGUCUAAUGACGAUCUUGAUCUUUAGAAUUCAAAUCAAUGUCCAAACUUUCCAAUUCCAAUGUUUUAAAGUCUUAUCCGGUGCUUGGUCGUGGCUUAGUCCGAUCUCAAGCUUAUGUAUAAUGUUUUCCGAUUUUUUAUACUUAGGUUAAUGGUUGCUUUUAAGUUUACUGUCUAACACGUUCAAAGCAAUUAAGUACUCAUACAAUUUGG